AAUAAAUAAUUCGGUCAGGCGAUCAGCGAACUUAGAUUUUCUAGGGAGGUUGAUGGUGCUGGGCUUUUUAGCAGCGGGUUUUAAUAACCUGUGGGACCACC
rnacentral:ncRNA from 1 species